rnacentral:rRNA from 1 species
UACGUAGGGCGCAAGCGUUAUCCGGAAUUAUUGGGCGUAAAGAGCUCGUAGGCGGUUUGUCGCGUCUGCCGUGAAAGUCCGGGGCUCAACUCCGGAUCUGCGGUGGGUACGGGCAGGACUAGAGUGAUGUAGGGGAGACUGGAAUUCCUGGUGUAGCGGUGAAAUGCGCAGAUAUCAGGAGGAACACCGAUGGCGAAGGCAGGUCUCGUGGGCAUUAACUGACGCUGAGGAGCGAAAGCCGUGGGGAGCGAACAGGA